GAUUGGAGAUCCCUCCCCUGGGGAGUUCUCCCCUCCCUGUGAGCUUAAGUCUUCAGAGGUGGUAAUGAAGGUGUUAACCCAAAUUACAAUUGGAGAGUGGUAGAAAAUUGGCUCAGCUGUAGAAGAUGAGGAAUCAGGAACAGGUGUUUGGCUGCAGUCAAGGAUCAGUCAGAAGGCAAUGCACUUCUUAAAGUUUUUGCAGGCCACUAACUCUACAGAGUUUUUCUGUGCAUCUUUACUGAUGAAGCGCGUAACUGAGUUUCUUCUGAAAUAUUCUAUUUCAUCAGUAGUUGUUUCACUGACCUGACCUCAGGAUCCAGUUUUGAAACUUCAACAAAUGCUCAGAUGAGCUAUGCAUAUGCAAUGAAGUAGAUACUUGCUAGAUGAUUAAAGUUCUGUGACCCUAGGGGCAUGGCACCAAACCUCCUGAUAGUGUCCACACUAAGUGACCUAAUUUAAGCCUUAGCUGAAAUAUCGUUUUCUGGGUGCUUGUAACUACUAAUUAAACUAGUAAUUCCACAUAAUCAAGAAAUCAUAUUUGGAAGGCCUGUGAUCUCCUGAUAAACAACAGAUUAAAUAAUGAGCACUAAUAAUGUUUUUGUUUUUUUUUUUAUGCAUACCUGCUAAGGAAAGCUGCAUUAUAGACUGAAGCGCUUCUAUUCUUCUGGAUACAGGCUUAAGGUCAAAGAUAAUAUGAUACUAUUUUUGACUGGAUAAUGCUAAGUACUGGAAGAAUGCACAUAUAAAACAGAUUUUCAAUUGUAUUAUAACUGAAAAUUACUGCACUGUGCACUUUUUCUUUAUUGAUUAUGUUUGUGUUAUAUGUGAGAGAAGACUAAGUCAUGCUUUUGGAAAACAUAUGUUUGUCUAUGCUUGCUGUGUUUUUCUCUGUAUUCUGUUCUGCAACUAAAAUCUAGCAGAACUCAAGUCUGAGAGAACGUGCUAUUUCUUUAAACCUGCUGUAUUCAAGAAGCUGUGCUUCAUGUGUCACCAAAUAAGAAUCUCAAAGUGCAUUUUCUACCUGAAUUAUAGUUGGUAUGUUUGUGUCAUCAUCAUGUGUUGGUUAGGAGAAUCUUCCGGAGCUAUAUUUGUCUAAUUGUCUGGAAGUAGAAGUGGAGAUAGGAUAACAUGACUUGCUGUGG